AGGGCGCACGGUGGAUGCCUUGGCACUAGGAGCCGAUGAAGGACGGGACUAACACCGAUAUGCUUUGGGGAGCUGUAAGUAAGCUAUGAUCCAGAGAUUUCCGAAUGGGGGAACCCAAUAUCUUUUAUAGGAUAUUACUUUUCAGUGAAUACAUAGCUGAUUAGAGGUAGACGCAGAGAACUGAAACAUCUUAGUACCUGCAGGAAGAGAAAGAAAAUUCGAUUCCCUGAGUAGCGGCGAGCGAAACGGGAAGAGCCCAAACCAACAAGCUUGCUUGUUGGGGUUGUAGGACUCCAAUAUGGUAGUCUGUUAGUAUAGUUGAAGGAUUUGGAAAAUUCCGCUAAAGAGGGUGAAAGCCCCGUAGACGAAAUGCUGACAACACCUAGGAGGAUCCUGAGUACGGCGGAACACGAGAAAUUCCGUCGGAAUCCGCGGGGACCAUCCCGCAAGGCUAAAUACUCCCUAGUGACCGAUAGUGAACCAGUACCGUGAGGGAAAGGUGAAAAGCACCCCGGAAGGGGAGUGAAAUAGAUCCUGAAACCGUGUGCCUACAACAAGUCAAAGCUCGUUAAUGAGUGAUGGCGUGCCUUUUGUAGAAUGAACCGGCGAGUUACGAUUGCAUGCGAGGUUAAGUCGAAGAGACGGAGCCGCAGCGAAAGCGAGUCUGAAUAGGGCGAAUGAGUAUGUAGUCGUAGACCCGAAACCAUGUGAUCUACCCAUGUCCAGGUUGAAGGUGCGGUAAAACGCACUGGAGGACCGAACCCACGUACGUUGAAAAGUGCGGGGAUGAGGUGUGGGUAGCGGAGAAAUUCCAAACGAACUUGGAGAUAGCUGGUUCUCUCCGAAAUAGCUUUAGGGCUAGCCUCGGAAUUGAGAAUGAUGGAGGUAGAGCACUGUUUGGACUAGGGGCCCAUCUCGGGUUACCGAAUUCAGAUAAACUCCGAAUGCCAUUCAUUUAUAUCCGGGAGUCAGACUGCGAGUGAUAAGAUCCGUAGUCGAAAGGGAAACAGCCCAGACCACCAGCUAAGGUCCCAAAAUAUAUGUUAAGUGGAAAAGGAUGUGGGGUUGCACAGACAACUAGGAUGUUGGCUUAGAAGCAGCCACCAUUUAAAGAGUGCGUAAUAGCUCACUAGUCGAGUGACCCUGCGCCGAAAAUGUACCGGGGCUAAACAUAUUACCGAAGCUGUGGACUACACCAUUAGGUGUAGUGGUAGGAGAGCGUUCUAAGGGCGUUGAAGGUCGAUCGUGAGGACGGCUGGAGCGCUUAGAAGUGAGAAUGCCGGUAUGAGUAGCGAAAGACAGGUGAGAAUCCUGUCCACCGUAUGACUAAGGUUUCCUGGGGAAGGCUCGUCCGCCCAGGGUUAGUCGGGACCUAAGCCGAGGCCGAUAGGCGUAGGCGAUGGACAACAGGUUGAUAUUCCUGUACCAGUUGUUUUUGUUUGAGCAAUGGAGGGACGCAGUAGGCUAAGGAAUGCAUGCGAUUGGAAGUGCAUGUCCAAGCAAUGAGUCUUGAGUAGAGUUAAAUGCUUUACUCUUUAAGGACAAGUUGUGACGGGGAGCGAAAUAAUAGUAGCGAAGUUCCUGAUGUCACACUGCCAAGAAAAGCUUCUAGUGAGAAAACAACUGCCCGUACCGUAAACCGACACAGGUAGUCGAGGAGAGUAUCCUAAGGUGAGCGAGCGAACUCUCGUUAAGGAACUCGGCAAAAUGACCCCGUAACUUCGGGAGAAGGGGUGCUGACUUCGGUCAGCCGCAGUGAAUAGGCCCAAGCGACUGUUUAUCAAAAACACAGGUCUCUGCAAAAUCGUAAGAUGAAGUAUAGGGGCUGACGCCUGCCCGGUGCUGGAAGGUUAAGAGGAUGGGUUAGCUUCGGCGAAGCUCAGAAUUGAAGCCCCAGUAAACGGCGGCCGUAACUAUAACGGUCCUAAGGUAGCGAAAUUCCUUGUCGGGUAAGUUCCGACCCGCACGAAAGGCGUAACGAUUUGGGCACUGUCUCAACGAGAGACUCGGUGAAAUUUUAGUACCUGUGAAGAUGCAGGUUACCCGCGACAGGACGGAAAGACCCCAUGGAGCUUUACUGUAGUUUGAUAUUGAGUGUUUGUACCACAUGUACAGGAUAGGUAGG
rnacentral:rRNA from 1 species